rnacentral:lncRNA from 1 species
UCGGGUUUUGGAACCGCAGGAGCCUCGGUUUCUUCUUCAUCAUCGUCUUGUUUCAUGUACAGUCCGAGUUGCUCAAGAGGGUUACUUCCUCCUAGGUUGAAACUUCCGAGAGCGUCCAAAGGUCUCUCUGGGCUGGUUUCAUCAGGUUUUGGUAUCGCACGAGCCUCGGGUUCUUCUUCAUCAUCAUCUUGUUUCAUGUACAGUCCGAGUUGCUCAAGUGGGUUACUCCCUCUGAGGCUGAAACUUCCAAGUGCAUCUAAAGGUCUUCCUCUGAGGUUGAAACUUCCAAGUGCAUCUAAAGGUCUCUCCGGACUGGUUUCAUCAGCUGAGCUUGGUAAUUGCUCAGGUGCACUUGAACUCAACAUCUCUAGGUCCUCCAGAAACCGCGAGUUCUCAUUGAUCUCUACAGUUUUCUCCAUCUGCAGGGAAGUCAACAACAUAUAUAAAAAAUAUAAGAGAUCUCCAACAUGUGGAUCCAAGAAACAAACAACACAUAACUUACAUUGGUGGAACAUAUUCAUCAGCGAACGUUCUUCAUAUUCUAAACAUGAUUAUAUUUAUUGAGUGUUUUUGUAGGGUUUG